rnacentral:hammerhead_ribozyme from 1 species
ACCCAACUGAUGAGUCCCAAAUAGGACGAAAUGCGCGUCCUGGAU